rnacentral:misc_RNA from 1 species
AAAGCUAAACUAAAUAAAAAAAUUGGGCUAUUAAAUUUGAACCGAACUUAAUUAAACUGAAAUUGAAACUUAAACUUUGGGGGUUCUGGACCAGUUCAGAUUCACCCUUGCGGUGAACCAUGAACCGACUGGCCAGGUCGAGGAUAUACGCCCCAUCCCAAUCCCAUUGCUAUAAUUGUGGUAGUAAAAACCUAAAAAUGAUGGAUUAAUUAAGAUUAAGCAAAUGAUAAAGGAGGUGCGGAUUAAUUUAUUGUUUUAACCAAUGAGAGGUUAACAGAGUCAGGGACGCAGCUUUUGCUUUAUAAAUACAAAGAAAGGGAUGACUCUAUUCUUCCACUGCGGCUUGCAGGGU